rnacentral:rRNA from 1 species
GGAUGCGAUCAUACCAGCACUAAAGCACCGGAUCCCAUUAGAACUCCGAAGUUAAUACUAGGAUGGGUGACCUCCUGGGAAGUCCUAGUGUUGCAUUCC